GCGAGGGCUCCGAGCCCGGGCUGCUCGGAGCUCGCAGUCCUCCGGGCGGGUCUGAGGUAGUGGGGCUCCGUCAUCUCUUCCGCCGCCCUCGAAAGUAAACUUUGCCACUCCACCCGCGGGGUCCCCAGUUCUCGCCGCAGUGCCUCCGGGCGUCGGGGUUCCGCGUCAGGGCCUGUCUGCCUCCCCCGGCGUGGGGCCUUGGGCGCCAUGGACGCGUCGGCGCUGGAGCGGGACGCCGUGCAGUUCGCGCGGCUGGCAGUGCAGCGCGACCACGAAGGCCGCUACUCUGAGGCGGUGUUUUACUACAAGGAAGCUGCCCAAGCUUUAAUUUAUGCUGAGAUGGCAGGAUCCAGCCUAGAAAGGAUCCAAGAGAAGAUCAAUGAGUAUCUGGAAAGAGUGCAAGCCCUUCACUCUGCAGUUCAGUCAAAGAGUACUGAUCCUUUGAAAUCAAAACACCAGUUGGAUCUAGAACGUGCCCAUUUUCUUGUUACACAAGCUUUCGAUGAAGAUGAAAAGGGGAAUGUGGAAGAUGCCAUAGAAUUAUAUACAGAAGCUGUGGAACUCUGUCUAAAAACCUCUUCUGAAACUGCUGACAAGACUCUGCAAAAUAAAUUGAAACAGUUGGCUCGACAGGCACUAGAUAGAGCAGAAGCAUUGAGUGAACCUUUGACAAAGCCAUUUUGCAAACUCAAGUCAGCAAAUAUGAAAACAAAGACUCCUCCAGUAAGAACACACUUUCCUCUAGGACCUAAUCCUUUCGUUGAAAAGCCUCAAGCAUUUAUAAGUCCACAGUCAUGUGAUGCGCAAGGACAGAAGUACACAGCAGAAGAGAUAGAAGUGCUCAGGACAACAUCAAAAAUAAAUGGUGUAGAAUAUGUUCCUUUCAUGAGUGUUGAUCUAAGGGAACGCUUUGCUUAUCCAAUGCCUUUUUGUGAUAGGUUGGGCAAGCUUCCAUUAUCACCUAAACAAAAAACUACAUUUUCUAAAUGGGUACGACCGGAAGAUCUCACCAACAAUCCUACAAUGAUAUACACUGUGUCCAGUUUUAGCAUAAAGCAGACAAUAGUAUCAGAUUGUUCCUUUGUGGCAUCGUUGGCUAUCAGUGCAGCGUAUGAGAGACGAUUCAAUAAGAAGUUAAUUACCAGCAUAAUUUACCCCCAGAAUAAGGAUGGAGAACCAGAGUACAAUCCCUGUGGAAAGUAUAUGGUAAAGCUUCACCUCAAUGGUGUUCCGAGAAAGGUGAUAAUUGAUGACCAGUUACCUGUUGAUCACAAAGGAGAAUUGCUGUGUUCUUAUUCCAACAAUAAAAGUGAAUUGUGGGUGUCACUUAUAGAGAAAGCAUACAUGAAAGUUAUGGGAGGAUAUGAUUUCCCAGGAUCCAACUCAAAUAUUGAUCUGCAUGCACUGACUGGGUGGAUACCAGAAAGGAUUGCCAUGCAUUCAGAUAGCCAGACGUUCAGUAAGGAUAACUCAUUCAGAAUGCUUUAUCAAAGAUUUCACAAAGGAGAUGUCCUCAUCACCGCAUCGACGGGAGUAAUGACUGAAGCUGAAGGGGAGAAGUGGGGCCUGGUUCCCACUCAUGCCUAUGCGGUUUUGGAUAUUAGAGAGUUCAAGGUUAUGCCUUAUAAUUUUCUCUUAUUUGUUUUCUUGAUUGAUAAGAUGUUACAGUAUUGCAAUGAUGGUCAGACUUUAGAGCCAUCCUAUGAGUGUAAACAGCCCAGACUCUACCAUUAGAAAUUAGGAGGUGAAAUUAGGAAAAUGAAAUUCAGUGACAGUAGAGAUAGUGACAGCGGAACGGGGAUGCCACCAUACCUUCUUCCUUUCCAUAAAAUUCGCCACCAUUGAGAUGCAUACACAGCUCGCAAGGUCCUGGGUUACAUGUUGGUGUUUUGGGUUAGUCAUUGUAGAAAGGUAUAGAAGAUAAAUAUCUGUGAAAGGAAAAGGAGAAAGAUGGCUGGAAGUAAGAGAUGCCAUGGAUCUGUGUGCACAUGUUUUCUCUUCUGCACCGUCUUUGCACACUGACAGGCUUUUAGACCCUUUCUCAGUAUGUGCUGCAGCUAAGGUCUUAGAAUAUGUGACCUUAUUACUUUUCAGGUUAUUGUCAUUUUUGAAUGAACAGCUGAUGAGUUCUCUGCACUAGAAGACACAAGUAUUAUCAAAUGCCCUAAUUGAACAGAGAGACGUGGUCAUUCAGCUAAAACAGUACUCAUUAUUUGUUAAUUAAACUUGGUGUUAAUUAAGUUGGCAUACAGAAAUAGGUCAUUUAGUCCCAGGAUAUAAUCCAAGAAAUUUGUGAUUUUGUUGUUAUGCAGACAUAAUAGUGUAUAUCCAAAGCCUAGACGAUAUGGUCUACUACACAGCUAGGCAAUAUUGUGUCUGUCUGUCUGUCUUGCUCCUAGGGCCUUCAGGAAGAAAUACAAGAUUAAAUCAAACACAAGAGAAAAUGGCGCAACAGGAGACACAAGAUAUGUGAAGCUGUUGUUAGCUUAAGGCAUACAGUUUUACAGUUAAGGCUUUUUUUUUUUGAGACAGGGUUUUGCCAUGUAUCCCAGGCUGGCCUUGAACUCAUAACCCAUCUGCCCGGCCUCCCAACUCCCAAGUACUGGGAUUACAGGGGCUGAGAUUUAUUCAGUUAAAAAACCCUUGGAGCCAUUUACGCUGGAAAGGAAGGUACAGUGAGAAUGAUGUGAAAAACUGGACCCCAGAAUUGCAGAAGUAUUUAAACUUUGAUCCACGAACAGCUCAGAAAAUAGAUAAUGGAAUAUUUUGGAUUUCCUGGGAUGAUCUUUGCCAGUAUUAUGAUGUAGUUUAUUUGAGUUGGAAUCCAGCUCUUUUUAAAGAAUCAACUUGCAUUCACAGUACUUGGGAUGCUAAACAAGGACCUGUGAAAGAUGCUUAUAGCCUGGCCAACAACCCCCAGUACAAAUUGGAGGUGCAGUGUCCACAAGGGGGUGCUGCAGUUUGGGUUUUGCUUAGUAGACACAUAACAGACAAGGAUGACUUCGCAAAUAACCGUGAGUUUAUCACAAUGGUUGUGUACAAGACUGAUGGCAAGAAGGUUUACUACCCAGCUGACCCACCUCCAUACAUUGAUGGGAUUCGAAUUAACAGCCCUCAUUACUUGACUAAGAUAAAGCUGACCACGCCCGGGACUCACACCUUCACCCUAGUGGUUUCUCAGUAUGAGAAACAGAAUACGAUUCAUUACACAGUCCGGGUGUAUUCAGCCUGCAGCUUUACUUUUUCGAAGAUCCCUUCACCAUACACCUUAUCCAAACGGAUAAAUGGAAAGUGGAGUGGUCAAAGUGCUGGAGGAUGUGGAAAUUUUCAGGAGACUCACAAAAAUAACCCCAUCUACCAAUUCCAUAUAGAUAAGACUGGACCGUUAUUGAUUGAGCUGAGAGGACCAAGGCAAUACAGUGUUGGAUUUGAGGUUGUAGCAGUUUCCAUAAUGGGAGAUCCUGGUCCUCAUGGCUUUCAGAGGAAAUCUAGUGGUGACUAUAGGUGUGGAUUUUGCUACUUAGAACUGGAAAACAUACCUGCUGGGAUCUUUAAUAUCAUCCCUAGUACUUUUUUGCCUAAACAAGAAGGACCUUUUUUCUUGGACUUUAAUAGUACUGUCCCCAUCAAGACAACACAACUCCAAUGAUUGAGAACUCUCAGCUAUUACUGGAUUCCAUAUUUCCCAGUCUCAGCUCUUCAGACAAGGAGACAAAUCACGAUGGUGAACCAUCAGAAUGGAAUUAAAUCAAAAGCAUGUUACGGAGUCUGGUGCUCGUUGUGGUGUUUGGUAAGGAUUUUAGAUAGUGGAAUUACCUUAAUCACCUGAAAUACUGUUUACAUGGUUUGUGCACACAGAGCUGGCGUGUACUCGGUGGCGGCUCUGUGUAAAUCACAGGCUAGAUUCAGCCAUCACUGGGAGAUGCUUUCGUUAAUAGGACACGAGGAGGACAAUGAGGACCACAGGUCCACUGAGUGCAAGAGCAGCCUAGUUUAGGAUCUUGAAAUACCUAUGUUUCCUGUUUUUACAGAGCACGUACGUUUAGCCCAUUUAUGUUGACCCCACCAUACAUCUUAAACAACUAAUUACCAAAUGAAUUAGGUCACUGCAACUAAUUUGAAUUUUUCAUUGUGUCUUUAAUGUUUAUUGUCGUGUAGCUGUUAAGCUUUAAAAACCGCUGUUUAGCUUAGCAUGGAGAUGCUCAGGCUUAAGAAUGAAGGUUGUCAGUGUUAGGUGCAUUGUCCAUUGUAGAGAGGACCGAAGUAUAUUUACUGUUGCUGUUCUUAGUUCUUAGCAGGUUGGUGAAUGUAGCAAUCAGAUGGAAAUGCUGAGGUUUAACCGUAGGGUUUUAAUUGCUCUGUAGUCAGUGCUUUCAUCAUGGGGACUUGGGGAGUCCUUGAGAAUUUAGUAUAUGGUGACUGAGUUAUACAGCAUUCAUAAAAAGUGAGUGGUCAGGAAUUAGUGUUUACAUAAAAUCAUCACUGCAGAAUGAUGCUCAAGAUUUUCAAGUUCUGGAAAAUAGGAUGGGAUCUGUCAUUGUCUCUACUUUAUAAUUAUCAAAUCUAUUUCUACUGCCUUUGAUUGAAAUAAAAUAUUUAUACUUAUGGAAA